CUUGACGGUCGACAGCAGCAGCGGCCGGUCGGCCGGGCGGUCCUGGCCGUACGUCGCCAGCAGGGCCUCCGCCUC
rnacentral:antisense_RNA from 1 species